ensembl:lncRNA
CUCGGCCCAGGCCAGGCCGGCAUCUCCAGUCAUGACAACCCCUCAGUGGGCAGAGCUUCAUUUCAGCACAUACACACACACAAGGGUACACGUGUGUGUGCAUCAGCCGCACGUUAAUGGAGAGGAGUGGAGGCACUGCGGGUUACUCUUGGGUGUUUUCCUGAUCAUGGAUUUAGUCUCGUCCUUGACUGAAUUGCACGUUGAUGUGAUUCUCCACUGAAAAUGCCCUUCAAAUCAAGACUAUGGAGCUUCCUGUUAACGGUGUACUCCAACCUUUUUCAACCUUAUUUGGAGCAUGUGUGUGAUUACUAUGGAUGAAAAUGUUGACAGAAAUCCCUGCACUUACUGAGCCUCACUUAUAAUGGGAGUCUAUGGGCAAUAAACAUUUGUAGUAUGUUUUCCUGAAUUAGUUCAUGAAGUCAAGUAUUUUUACUAUUGAGUGAGUGAGUAGUAAGUAAGUAGUAAGUAAUGAUUACGUAGUAAGUAAGUAAGUAGUAAGUAAGAAUGUAAGUAGUUAGUGAGUAGUUAGUGAGUAAGUAAGUAGUUAGAAAGUAGUAAGUAGUAAGUAAGCAAGUAAGUAGGCAGUAAGUGAGUAAGUAAUUGAAUGAGUAGUAAGUAAUAAAGUAAGUAGUUAGUAAGUAGUUGGUGAGUAAGUAGUCGAUAGUAAGUGUGUAAGAGAAUAAGUGAGUGAGUAGUUAGUGAGUAAAAGAGUAAGUAGUUAGAGAGUAAGAGAGUGAGUAGUUAGUGAGUAAGUAGUUGGUGAAUAAGUGAGUAUGUAAGUAGUUAGUAAGUAGUUAGUAAGAGAGCGAGUAAGUAGUUAGUGAGUUAGUAAGUAGUUAGCAAUAAAGCGAGUAAGUAGUGAGUUAGCGAGUAAGUAGUUAGCGAGUAAGUAGUUAGCGAGUAAGUAGUUAGUAAGAGAGUAAGUGAGUAAGUAGUUAGCGAGUAAGUAGUUAGCGAGUAAGUAGUUAGCGAGUAAGUAGUUAGUAAGAGAGUAAGUGAGUAAGUAGUUAGCGAGUAAGUAGUUAGCGAGUAAGUAGUUAGCGAGUAAGUAGUUAGUGAGUUAGCGAGUAAGCAUUUAGCGAGUAAGUAAUUAGUGAGUUAGCAAGUAAGUAGUUAGUGAGUAAGUAGUUAGCAAGUAAGUAGUUAGCAAGAGAGUAAGCGAGUAAGUAGUUAGCAAGAGAGUAAGCGAGUAAGUAGUUAGCAAGAGAGUAAGCGAGUAAGUAGUUAGCAAGAGAGUAAGCGAGUAAGUAGUUAGCAAGAGAGUAAGCGAGUAAGUAGUUAGCAAGAGAGAAAGCGAGUAAGUAGUUAGCAAGAGAGAAGGCGAGUAAGUAGUUAGCAAGAGAGAAGGCGAGUAAGUAGUUAGCAAGAGAGAAGGCGAGUAAGUAGUUA